rnacentral:lncRNA from 1 species
AAUUAAAUUAAAGCAGCCUUCGGUCUGACAGAACUUUCUUGAAAAUGGCAACGUUCUAUAUUGGCGGUGUCCAAUACGGCAGCCAUUAGCCAUAAGUGGCUACUGAGCACUUGAAAUGAAGCUAAUGUGACGAAGGUGCUGACUUUUUUAAGUUAUUUGAUUUUAACAAAUUUAAACAGCCACAUAUACAGCUAGUGGCUACAAUACACUCAACACAGGGAUAGGGUCAGCAAUGCACAGAAAGACAAGCACAGAAUUUGAAACCAGGACAAAUUUGGGUCCCACUUCUGCUACUUGAUGCUUUUUAUUUUAAGCCCGUAUCUAAUUCUCAGAAGAAAACACCUACCCAUGAACUACAGGUCUAUUUUGAGAAUCAAAUGAAACGGUAUAUGAGAAAGACCUUUGUAAGCUGCAGAAACUGGUAUAUCUGCUCUUUCCUUUAAGUAUAAAUGAAAGACUAUCACGUUUCAGAAACUACUGAGUAAUCAUGAAAACCUUUACUUUACAGACAUUAAUAUCAUACUGAAUGGGCAAAAACUGGAAGCAUUCCCUUUGAAAACUGGCACAAGACAGGGAUGUCCUCUCUCACCACUCCCAUUCAACAUAGUGUUGGAAGUUCUGGCCAGGGCAAUUAGGCAGGAGAAGUAAAUAAAGGGUAUUCAAUUAGGAAAAGAGGAAGUCAAAUUGUCCCUGUUUGCAGAUGACAUGAUUGUAUAUCUAGAAAACCCCAUCAUCUCAGCCCAAAAUCACCUUAAGCUGAUAAGCAACUUCAGCAUAGUCUCAGGAUACAAAAUCAAUGUACAAAAAUCACAAGCAUUCCUAUACACCAAUAACACACAAACAGAGAGCCAAAUCAUGAGUGAACUCCCAUUCACAAUUGCUUCAAAGAGAAUAAAAUACUUAGGAAUCCAACUUACAAGGGACGUGAAGGACCUCUUCAAGGAGAACUACAAACCACUGCUCAAGGAAAUAAAAGAGGAUACAAACAAAUGGAAGAACAUUCCAUGCUCAUGGGUAGGAAGAAUCAAUAUCGUUAAAAUGGCCAUACUGCCCAAGGUAAUUUAUAGAUUCAAUGGUAUCCCCAUCAAGCUACCAAUUACUUUCUUCACAGAAUUGGAAAAAACUACUUUAAAGUUCAUAUGGAACCAAAAAAGAGCCCGCGUCGCCAAGUCAAUCCUAAGCCAAAAGAACAAAGCUGGAGGCAUCAUGCUACCUGACUUCAAACUAUACUACAAGGCUACAGUAACCAAAACAGCAUGGUACUGGUACCAAAACAGAGAUAUAGAUCAAUGGAACAGAACAGAGCCCUCAGAAAUAAUGCCACAUAUCUACAACUAUCUGAUCUUUGACAAACCUGAGAAAAACAAGCAGUGGGGAAAGGAUUCCCUAUUUAAUAAAUGGUGCUGGGAAAACUGGCUAGCCAUAUGUAGAAAGCUGAAAAUGGAUCCCUUCCUUACACCUUAUACAAAAAUUAAUUCAAGAUGGAUUAAAGACUUAAACGUUAGACCUAAAACCAUAAAAACCCUAGAAGAAAACCUAGGCAAUACCAUUCAGGACAUAGGCAUGGGCAAGGACUUCAUGUCUAAAACUCCAAAAGCAAUGGCAACAAAAGCCAAAAUUGACAAAUGGGAUCUAAUUAAACUAAAGAGCUUCUGCACAGCAAAAGAAACUACCAUCGGAGUGAACAGGCAACCUACAAAAUGGGAGAAAAUUUUUGCAACCUACUCAUCUGACAAAGGGCUAAUAUUCAGAAUCUACAAUGAACUUAAACAAAUUUACAAGAAAAAAACAAACAACCCCAUCAAAAAGUGGGCAAAGGAUAUGAACAGACAAUUCUCAAAAGAAGACAUUUAUGCAGCCAAAAGACACAUGAAAAAAUGCUCAACAUCACUGGCCAUCAGAGAAAUGCAAAUCAAAACCACAAUGAGAUACCAUCUCACACCAGUUAGAACAGCGAUCAUUAAAAAGUCAGGAAACAACAGGUGCUGGAGAGGAUGUGGAGAAAUAGGAACACUUUUACACUGUUGCUGGGACUGUAAACUAGUUCA